rnacentral:lncRNA from 1 species
GACUUCACAGCCUGUCUUUCCUCGCAGGCUCUGCUUACAAGGCCUGGAAAGUCCACCCUGGUCCUCCCUGACCUGCCCCAAAGGUCAGCACUCUGAGCUGCCUCCGGGGAAGGGGAGGCCACAGCCACCGUCCCUGGGGUAAGUGGCAGCUCUGGGGGGCCCUGCGCGCUGGCCACUCCGAGCCAGCGAGAGUGGGCGUCAGGCACACAAGCCCUCAGUGUCCCCGCUGCGUCCCUGCCCUGAGAGAGGUCCCUUCUGUCUCCAGGGGUGGACCCUGAUUACCCCUAGGCCCCAGGGGUCGCGCCUGGCCCCCACCUCCCACCCACUGCCUUUUGUAAACCUUGCGCCCCUCCUCGGGAGGGUGGAAGGACGGGGGCUCGCAGCCCGGGUGUGGCGCGGCGAUACCUCGUGCCCGGCCCUCCCCGCCCAGCGGCCGCGUCCAGUCCUGAAGCGCGAGGAGCAGCCCGAGGGUACCUGGCCCGGUGGGAAGCCCAGAGGGAGGAGAUCGGGCGCGCGCGAGCGUGUGUGUGUGUGUGUGUGUGUGUGUGUGUGUGUGUGUGUGUGUUCGCUGUCCGGGGUGCGGCUCUCUCGAGGCUCCACCAGCCCCUCCUCCCCCAUCCCAACGGUCCUGCGCCCAGGAGCCCCGCACCCGGCUGCGGUGAUGUUUGCAGAACCCCGAAAUGGAGCAGUAGGACGGGGGACCUCAUGUCCACCUUGGGAUUCUCCUCCUGUGCCAGUCUUGCGUCUACGGGGUAAUAAAUUCACCUGGAGGCAACUUAAAGUUAGUUGUUGCAGCUAAUUCCAUUCAUUCUGAGUCAUCCAUUCAUUUUGAAAAAAUUUCUCAAGCCUGACCACGUGCAGAAGACUGGGCAGGACGGAUGCAAAGUUGGAGCACUAAAGGGAAAGGUGGCAUCCAGAGAGUGGGGCUGACAACACCCAGCCCCAUCUCUAACACCAAGGACACCAAAGGGUCAAGGAAUCUGUAUUAAAAAAGAAAGGUACUUCGAGUGACCAUUGUCAAGGCUGUCUGGGAAGCUGUCCUACAGGGUGAGAAUUAUACUGGGCUACACACUGGGAAGGAAAG